CAAGGUUUGUGAUCAGGUUCAGACUGGAAAUGGUUGGUUAUGUAUUGUGUAAUUUGACUCUGUGGAAUCCAACAGUAUAUGAUAAGGUCCUUUUAAUUUAUUUUCAGGUUUAUAACUUUUCUGAGAUCAGGACUGUAUGUGAAAACAGAGCCAUCCUGAAAACUAUGAAGAAAUAUUUCUUUCAUUCAAAGGAAAACAAAGUAGAAGGAUUCAGGAAAGGAUAGAAAACUCAGUGGUGUUGAGGAGUAUGUAAAUACCUUAGGCCUUUAAGGAAAUUCUACUGAAAUCAACAUAAUAAGGUAAAACUUUUCUUUUUAAAAUCUGUCUGUUUUUCAAAAUAUAAGAAUCAGAACAUCUUUUAAUUUUAAUUUUUUUUCAAGUUUUUAUUUAAAUUCAUGUUAGUUAACAUAGAGUGUAACAUUAGUUUCAGGCGUAGAAUCUAGUGAUUUAUCACUUACAUACAACACCCGUUGGUCAUCACAAAUAGAUUUGGCACAUCUUAACUAAUUAUUAAUUUUUAAAAAUUCUUAUAAAAAAAGCCCUUCAAGGUAAACUAUGCAUAGUUUAAAUAUCUUACCCUUCAAGGCUCAUCUGUGCUAUGGAGUAAAAUUCUUGCUUUAUGGAAAUGGAAUUAUGCAAACGUGAUAACCUAAACAAGGAUGCACUUUUUGCUCUUUGCUCUGAAAUUCCAUCCUUUCCCUGUUUCUCUGAGUUGCAUUGAUUUAAAGAGUUAAUUUCCUGUGUAUUUUUAAAAGAAAAUAUUAAAAAUCAAUGGUCUUGCAUGCCCAAAAAUGUGUGUGAAUGGAUGAUUGUGUUUUCUAAUAAUCUAGGUAGUCAAUUGAGAACCUGGUAAGUACUACAUCUUUCCUGAAAAUCAUUUGGCUCAGCUUUUGAACAGAAUCUCCUAAGGGCUUUGUUAGAGAGGAAGGUAAAUCUCAUUUUAGGCUGAGAUUGAAAUGGAGGAUAUGUCACUCUGGAAAAAAGUCCAUAUAUAUAUCUUUUUGUUUGCCUGAUGUUUGCUCAGCUAGGGUCCCACCUAAUGGGCAAUCAACAAAACAAGCCGAGGGAAAUUCUAACAGCACAAAAGGCUUGAGUAGGAAGAUGGUCAGAGAGGAUCAGAUAAUUAACCCCAAGAAGUUGGGUUCAGUGCCUUUAUUGGGGGGAUUACAGAGAUAAAAUAAGGUCAUUUCUCUUGUAUAGAGGAAGACGGAAGGGUCAAGAACUUAGAAACAUGGAGAGGGAAGAGAACAAGAAAGGACAUGGUGCUACUCUUCAUUUUCUGCUGUGUGACAAAGGUCAAAAUGAUGGCACUUCUGGACUUUGAAGAGAUGAUCUUUCUUUAUUGGGAUUAAGUUCCCAAAGUCGUAUUCACUGAACUUCCUAAAAGUAGCAAUGGACAUUUCAGAAUGAACUUCUAAAGCACAAGGGUCCUUGACUCCAUGCUGGAAGUUUCCCAGCUGAACUAAGCAGUAAAGAACUACUCUGGAUAAUUCAUUUGACCAAAACUGAAUUAAGCAAUAUGGACUAUUUACAGACAGCCUGCAGGGUUGUAACCUCUCAGAAUGUCAAAAGACAUUCAUUACACAUAAAAAUAAGACUUCUAUAUUCUCAACCAAAUAUACCAAGAAUAUCUAUUCAAUAAUAUCUAUAAAUCUAAAUUCAGAGAAUAUGGUAAUGAUUUUUUUCUUAUGUAUUAUACCUAUUUUACCUACAAUGUCAUAGGAAUUGGUUUUUUUUUUUUUGCGCAGUUUUAGAGAGUGCAAUCAUUUUCUUAUAAUAAAUACCUUAGUUCCUCCA
ensembl:lncRNA